GAGUUUGAUCCUGGCUCAGGAUGAACGCUGGCGGCGUGCUUAACACAUGCAAGUCGAACGAAGCACUUGGGAAAGAUUCUUCGGAUGGAAGCCUUUGUGACUGAGUGGCGGACGGGUGAGUAACGCGUGGGUAACCUACCUCAUACAGGGGGAUAACAGUUGGAAACGACCGCUAAUACCGCAUAACCCGCUAGUAUCGCAUGAUACGGACGGAAAAGAUUUAUCGGUAUGAGAUGGACCCGCGUCUGAUUAGCCAGUUGGCAGGGUAACGGCCUACCAAAGCGACGAUCAGUAGCCGGCCUGAGAGGGUGAACGGCCACAUUGGGACUGAGACACGGCCCAAACUCCUACGGGAGGCAGCAGUGGGGAAUAUUGCACAAUGGGGGAAACCCUGAUGCAGCGACGCCGCGUGAGUGAGGAAGUAUUUCGGUAUGUAAAGCUCUAUCAGCAGGGAAGAAAAUGACGGUACCUGACUAAGAAGCCCCGGCUAACUACGUGCCAGCAGCCGCGGUAAUACGU
rnacentral:rRNA from 1 species